GAGUGGAAAGUGGCGGACGGGUGAGUAAUGUGUAGAGAAUCUGCCCUUGAGUGGGGGACAACAGCUGGAAACGGUUGCUAAUACCCCAUAUGAGAUAUUUUGGAAUAAAUAUCUUGAAAACUCCGGUGCUCAAGGAUGAGUCUGCAUCUGAUUAGCUAGUUGGGGGUGUAAUGGACCACCAAGGCGACGAUCAGUAGCUGGUUUGAGAGGAUGAUCAGCCACAAUGGGACUGAGACACGGCCCAUACUCC
rnacentral:rRNA from 1 species